UACGAAGGGGGCUAGCGUUGUUCGGAAUUACUGGGCGUAAAGCGCACGUAGGCGGACAUUUAAGUCAGGGGUGAAAUCCCAGAGCUCAACUCUGGAACUGCCUUUGAUACUGGGUGUCUUGAGUAUGGAAGAGGUGAGUGGAAUUCCGAGUGUAGAGGUGAAAUUCGUAGAUAUUCGGAGGAACACCAGUGGCGAAGGCGGCUCACUGGUCCAUUACUGACGCUGAGACGCGAAAGCGUGGGGAGCGAACAGG
rnacentral:rRNA from 1 species